GUGCUCUCACAUCAGCAGCAAAUGUAAAACUGAAACAAUGCAGAGAAGAUUAUCAUGGUCCCGAUGCAGGAAUGGCAUGCAAAUUCACGAAUCAUUCCGUGUUUCU